AAUGGUCGACUGGUGACGUGCACUUCAUUUAUGUUGUAGGUCACCAGUUUGACUCUCU
rnacentral:pre_miRNA from 1 species